AGUGAACGCUGGCGGUAGGCCUAACACAUGCAAGUCGAACGGCAGCACAGUAAGAGCUUGCUCUUACGGGUGGCGAGUGGCGGACGGGUGAGGAAUACAUCGGAAUCUACUUUUUCGUGGGGGAUAACGUAGGGAAACUUACGCUAAUACCGCAUACGACCUACGGGUGAAAGCAGGGGAUCUUCGGACCUUGCGCGAUUGAAUGAGCCGAUGUCGGAUUAGCUAGUUGGCGGGGUAAAGGCCCACCUAGGCGACGAUCCGUAGCGGGUCUGAGAGGAUGAUCAGCCACACUGGAACUGAGACACGGUCCAGACUCCUACGGGAGGCAGCAGUGGGGAAUAUUGGACAAUGGGCGCAAGCCUGAUCCAGCCAUACCGCGUGGGUGAAGAAGGCCUUCGGGUUGUAAAGCCCUGUUGUUGGGAAAGAAAAGCAGCAGGUUAAUACCCCGCGGUUCUGACGGUACCCAAAGAAUAAGCACCGGCUAACUUCGUG
rnacentral:rRNA from 1 species